rnacentral:rRNA from 1 species
GACGAGGGAUCCUAGCGUUGCUCGGAAUUAUUGGGCGUAAAGCGGGUGUAGGUGGCUUGGUAAGUCGGGUGUGAAAGCCCAGGGCUCAACCCUGGAAGUGCAUUCGAUACUGCUGAGCUUGAGUGCGAGAGAGGUUAAUAGAAUACCUGGUGUAGUGGUGAAAUACGUAGGUAUCAGGUGGAACACCGGAGGCGAAGGCGGUUAACUGGCUCGACACUGACACUGAGACCCGAAAGUGCGGGGAUCAAACAGG